GACGAACGCUGGCGGCAGGCCUAACACAUGCAAGUCGAACGAGUGGCGGACGGGGGAGUAAUGACAGGGAAACUGCCCGAAGGAGGGGGAUAACUACUGGAAACGGUAGCUAAUACCGCAUACGAUUGAAUGAGCCGAUGUCUGAUUAGCUAGUUGGCGGGGAAAAGGCCCACCAAGGCGACGAUCCGUAGCUGGUCUGAGAGGAUGAUCAGCGACACUGGAACUGAGAAACGGUCCAGAUACCUACGGGCGGCAGCAGUGGGGAAUAUUGCACAAUGGGCGCAAGCCUAAUGCAGCCAUGCCGCGUGUAUGAAGAAGGCCUUCGGGUUGUAAAGUACUUUCAGCGGGGAGGCGUUACCCGCAGAAGAAGCACCGGCUAACUCCGUGCCAGCCGCCGCGGUAAUUC
rnacentral:rRNA from 1 species